GGGCCGGCUCUGCGCGCCUGGCUCUAGCUGCACGGGUGCCUGGCGUAGGAGCGGGCCAUCGUGAGCGGGCAAGCGGGGAUUUGACCAGAUCUGAUUAGAGAGCGCAGGAGCAGAGGCCGAUUUGGUGCGGUUCUUGGAAGGAUGGCGGAUGAGCGACCAGCCUGGCUUUUGGAUGGGGGGUCUGCACAAGAUUCAAAUCAGCUAGAUCUUUUGGCGAUUACAUAUCCUUCUGGGCCAAGUGAGCAGCACAUGGAUGACAAGAGAACAAGUCAGCAGCAA